rnacentral:snRNA from 1 species
GGAUGUGAGGGUGAUCUGUCUGUGACAUCGAUCACCCCACUGAUCACCAGGGUUGAUUGGGCUGAUCUGGUUGCCUAGGCUGGUGUCCCCUUCCUCCCUCACCACUUCAUGUGUGUCCCUCCUAAAGCCACAUGCUCAAAGAGGAUGACCUUCCUCUAAUAGAGGAGGACUGGUCUUCAGUCAUGGGUAUAUGAGUAGCUGUGCUCCCUUGCUAGAACCUCCAAACAAGCUCUCAGACAUCAAAAAUCAGCCAAUUUCUUCUUUAGUUCAAGAGGAUGGCUUGCUCCUUUUCAACUAUUUAUAAAAACACACGUGCUCAUGUGUGUUAU